UACGUAGGGCGCAAGCGUUGUCCGGAAUUAUUGGGCGUAAAGAGCUCGUAGGCGGUCUGUCGCGUCCGUUGUGAAAACCCGGGGCUCAACCCCGGGCCUGCAUUCGAUACGGGCAGACUAGAGUUCGGUAGGGGAGUCUGGAAUUCCUGGUGUAGCGGUGAAAUGCGCAGAUAUCAGGAGGAACACCGGUGGCGAAGGCGGGACUCUGGGCCGAUACUGACGCUGAGGAGCGAAAGCGUGGGGAGCAAACAGG
rnacentral:rRNA from 1 species